rnacentral:tRNA from 1 species
AGAAUAAUAGUUUAAUUUAAAAUUUUUAAUUUGCACUUAAAAGAUAUUUAUUUAAAUUUAUUUUA